AGCAGUAAAGCACCCCAGCCUGUUAUAAGGGGGCUACAACCUGAGUUGAGGUUAGGUGGAAGUCUGGGUUCUGUGACGUCCUUGUGAUGGCUGUGACCAGGGGCCAGGGCUGAAUAAGCAGAAAACAGAAAUCUGGUCCUUUUUUUUUUUUCCUCUCACGUGAAUAGUCAAGUCUUGAGGUGGGGGUGGGGGGCAGGGUGAGGAGCGAAGCCUGAGAAGUCUACACACAGUUUGAAUCGUUACACUGGAAAUCUGAGAAGAUGAAAGUGAGACAAAGAUAACCCAGAUCUGACUGGAGUAAGUUCAGGAGAGAAUGGCAAAUCCGAAAAUAGAGGUGGAAAUAAAAGAAACCCUCUCUGCCCUUUGCAGUAAGGCAAACAGCAGCUGAAGAGACAUGGAGUCAAGAAGCUCUUGCUUUGUUGCACAAUGGGAAUGAGGAAGAUGCAGUAGAGAGAAAGAUUGAUGCAGGAUUCAAUUAGUGAGCCUGAGACACACAGCUACAGCUUCACAGGAACACUGUUGUUGUAAAGGUCUUAUGCAUUGCAGAGAAGUUGAAGCCAUUCAAUAAUUAGUGUCCCUAUUCCGAGAAGUGAAAUUUGGUGGCGUGAGUAGGAAAAAACAACACGGAAAUAAGAAAGACCCACGAUGGCCAUUUAGAGCACAAUGAGACCUUGUUUACUCGACGACGUGGACUCCAGCGUUCCCUUGAAAAAACGCAAGUGAUUAAGAAAAUACUUUGAGAACCUAAUAAUAGUGCCCUGAAAUCUGAGAGCCACUUCUCAUCUUUCUGAGGCUCAGGAACAUGCUUAAUAAGGAUGUAUGUUUUUAAUACACUGAUUCUUAGCAACGAUGUAGGGUUUUCAUUAUUUUUA